CUUUAGAGCAAGGUCGGGUCGGUAAAACGAGAAUUAGGCAAAGGAAGAAAGUAUGUUGUCAAGUUGAAGUCAAAGUCAAAGGAAAUAGUAUGUUCAUGGUGGCCUCAUAUAUAAUGUUUACAGCAUUAACAGGGUGAUAAUUAGCAGAUUUAAACACUAAGACAACCCUGAUAUUAAUUAUGGCUGAUUAACUGAAUUAGUCUGAAGGCAGAAAAUAUUUUGACUCAAAUCAGUGACUAAAUCUAUAGAGGACAAUAAUGACAUUUAAGACGAC